UACGUAGGGCGCAAGCGUUGUCCGGAAUUAUUGGGCGUAAAGAGCUCGUAGGCGGCUUGUCACGUCGGGUGUGAAAGCCCGGGGCUUAACCCCCGGGUCUGCAUUCGAUACGGGCUAGCUAGAGUGUGGUAGGGGAGAUCGAAUUCCUGGUGUAGCGGUGAAAUGCGCAGAUAUCAGGAGGAACACCGGUGGCGAAGGCGGAUCUCUGGGCCAUUACUGACGCUGAGGAGCGAAAAGCGUGGGGGAGCGAACAGG
rnacentral:rRNA from 1 species